rnacentral:tRNA from 1 species
GCGAGAGUGGCGGAAUUGGCAGACGCGCAAGACUUAGGAUCUUGUGGAGAGAUCCGUGCGGGUUCGAGUCCCGCCUCUCGCACCA